rnacentral:misc_RNA from 1 species
UCUCCGUUGGUGAACCAGCGGAGGGAUCAUUACAGGACUCGCAAGACUCCUACAACCCUGUGAACUUAACUAUAAGCACGUUGCUUCGGCGGGUGUCUCGGAGGGGGUUCUCCCUCCCCGAGACGCUAAACCCGCUGGCAGCCUACUAUACUCUGUCUCUUUGCGUUGGCAUCUCGAGUACAAUCAAACAAGUUAAAACUUUCAACAACGGAUCUCUUGGUUCUG